GGGCGUAAGCGCGCGCAGGUGGUUUCUUAAGUCUGAUGUGAAAUCCCACGGCUCAACCGGGGAAGUGCAUUGGAAACUGGGAGACUUGAGUGCUGAAGAGGAAAGUGGAAUUCCAUGUGUAGCGGUGAAAUGCGUAGAGAUAUGGAGGAACACCAGUGGCGAAGGCGACUUUCUGGUCUGUAACUGACACUGAGGCGCGAAAGCGUGGGGAGCAAACAGGAUUAGAUACCCUGGUAGUCCACGCCGUAAACGAUGACUGCUUGGUGGUAGAGGGUUUCCGCCCUUUAUUGCUGAACUUAACGCAUUAAUCACUCCGCCGGGGGAGUACGGCCGCAAGGCUGAAACUCAAAGGAAUUGACGGGGGCCCGCACAAGCGGUGAAGCAUGUGGUUUAAUUCAAAGCAACGCGAAGAACCUUACCACGCCUUGACAUCCUCUGACAACCCUAAAGAUAGGUCUUCUCCUUCG
rnacentral:rRNA from 1 species